GAAGUGCAAAAUGCUCGGCCCCGUGAUUCAUUUUAUAACGCAUAAGAACAUAAUACAACAACAAGAAAUUAUAACAAGCUAUAAUAUGAUUUUUUUUCACAUCUUGAGGGUACGAAGAAGUUUGUUCGAUUAGUUUUCAUCGAUUUUCACCAGCUUUUAAUUGUAUACACUCAUAUCCUAGCAGAAAGAAAAGUGUUUAUAUAUUGACUCUGGGUUGAUUUGUUGGCCAAUGGAUUUUUUAACGGAGAGGUCUUAACGUGUGAAAAAGAGGAGACUGUCAGACUCGACUAGGCACCGCAUCAUUGUUUGCCGAUGAUUCUGUAGCUGUGUCCCAAUUCAAGGGCUGCAACCUUAUGGGCAUUCGACCUUAAAAGAAUAUCCACCCAUUAUAUGCAGCCGUUGCAGACGCGCAAUGACUCUUGGUAUAUCCUCGGCUGUUAAGGAUCCAAAAUGAGGAUCAAGUUCCCGCCGGAUCCGGACCGGAGUCCGGACUUUGAGAACCCCUGAUCUAAGCCGUUUGAUCGAAUCAAUCAUACAAAGGCCAUUUUCUUGCAGCCGCUGUAGAACUCUGUCCAGGUUCAUCAGAUGCUCAGUUUCGUCCCUGCCCACUACCAGCAGGUCAUCCAAAUAGACCACUACAUUGAGGCAGAAAUGGGGACUUGUGACUUGGUGACUUGGACUCGAGUCGACUCGAGUCGCUAUUUUUGUGACUUGUGACUUGACUUGACAAAAAAUAAAAUACUUGAGACUUGACUCGGACUUGGAAGUUAAAGACUCGGGACUUGACUUGAAUUGAGACACGAUGACUUGAAUGACUUGAUUGUUAAUCACAUCAUGUUUUCAGUUUAAAUAUAAAAUAUAUAAAUUAUUUAAAAAAAAGUUGACCCAGCUGGAGCGCAGGCUGAGAAUGGUGUUGUCAUGACUGAAUCAGGACACUAUCAUUCGUCAUGCCCUCUCGUAUGCACACGCACACCACGCCCACUUAGAUCAGAUAUCAACAUGUCAGCCGGAGGGGUACCGAGGAUCAUCGCUUUCGGCUUCAACAAGAUGGCAAAAGACGAACAGUGCGUUGCAAGAUAUGCAACAUUAAAAUCAUAGGCAGCCAGACGGCAACCUCCAAUUUCGUUCAUCAUUUGAAGAGCCAUUA